UGACGUCGGUUCCUCUUCCUGUUUAAAGUUCUUCAGGAGGAUUUUACGAUGUCGCAGAGAAUCGUGGGUCUUUUUCACCCAGAGAGUUUCAGCUGCAAACCAGCUACUCACAACUUCCUGGUUUUGCAAGACCCGACAAUA